rnacentral:lncRNA from 1 species
UCUUUCUCAGAGUAACAAAAUCUAAGUCUUUACCUUUGGCUAGAUAUAGAGUCGAGUGAGGCGAAAUGAAUUGCGUAUAUAAAUAUAGCAAGUAGUUUUUAUUUCGUGAACGUGAUUUGUGUGGGGUUAAUGUACUUGCCAAAACUCGCUUGGCAGAAUAAUCUUAGCCAAAGCGAAGAACCGACUUGACAUGCCGCGAAUCCUCUGGAAAGAGAGGGGUGGGGUUUCUCUCGCUUUCUCUUUUCCUCCCAAAGUUCUAUCCUUAUAAGCUUUAUACACAGGCAGGAGCCUUCGGGUAUUCUUUUCUUCGGAUGAUAACGGUAUGACCAAAAGGGAGAGACCCAAGAGUAUUAAUGUCUAGGACCGGGUGGAAGGAGCCAUCUCCAUACUCUCUAGUGGACAAACUGACCUCAAAGUUCUAUAGAAGGCACGAAGCUCACGUUCUCGCAAUCUGCGGUCAAUGCCGGUUGAACUUCGGCAGAGACCUUAACAAUAGAACCUCAUAACGGAAACUUUAAACAUUGAUGGUAUGUGGAGGAUCUGGCCUCACGCAACCAAGGCUUUCCAAGUAGUAAGUUGAAUGAAGUGAGGAUAUCUAUGACAUGGAAGGUGGACCAAAAGGUUAGG